rnacentral:rRNA from 1 species
ACGAACGCUGGCGGCAUGCCUAACACAUGCAAGUCGAACGAUGCCUCCGGGCAUAGUGGCGCACGGGUGCGUAACGCGUGGGAAUCUGCCCUUGGGUUCGGAAUAACUCGCCGAAAGGCGAGCUAAUACCGGAUGAUGACGUAAGUCCAAAGAUUUAUCGCCCAAGGAUGAGCCCGCGUAGGAUUAGCUAGUUGGUGGGGUAAAGGCCCGCCAAGGCGACGAUCCUUAGCUGGUCUGAGAGGAUGAUCAGCCACACUGGGACUGAGACACGGCCCAGACUCCUACGGGAGGCAGCAGUGGGGAAUAUUGGACAAUGGGCGAAAGCCUGAUCCAGCAAUGCCGCGUGAGUGAUGAAGGCCUUAGGGUUGUAAAGCUCUUUUACCCGGGAUGAUAAUGACAGUACCGGGAGAAUAAGCUCCGGCUAACUCCGUG